rnacentral:rRNA from 1 species
CAAGUCGAGCGGCAGCGCGGGGGCAACCCUGGCGGCGAGCGGCGAACGGGUGAGUAACACAUCGGAACGUGUCCCGUAGUGGGGGAUAGCUCGGCGAAAGCCGGAUUAAUACCGCAUACGAUCCACGGAUGAAAGCGGGGGAUCCGCAAGGACCUCGCGCUAUGGGAGCGGCCGAUGUCCGAUUAGCUUGUUGGUGGGGUAAAGGCCUACCAAGGCGACGAUCGGUAGCUGGUCUGAGAGGAUGAUCAGCCACACUGGGACUGAGACACGGCCCAGACUCCUACGGGAGGCAGCAGUGGGGAAUUUUGGACAAUGGGGGAAACCCUGAUCCAGCCAUGCCGCGUGAGUGAAGAAGGCCUUCGGGUUGUAAAGCUCUUUUGGCCGGAAAGAAAAGGUCGCGGAUAACACCUGCGACUUUUGACGGUACCGGCAGAAUAAGCACCGGCUAACUACGUGCCAGCAGCCGCGGUAAUACGUAGGGUGCGAGCGUUAAUCGGAAUUACUGGGCGUAAAGCGUGCGUAGGCGGUCCCGCAAGUCCGCUGUGAAAGCCCUGGGCUUAACCUAGGAACUGCAGUGGAAACUAUGGGACUUGAAUCUGGCAGAGGGGGGUGGAAUGCCACGUGUAGCAGUGAAAUGCGUAGAUUUGUGGCGGAACACCGAUGGCGAAGGCAGCCCCCUGGGCUGAGAUUGACGCUCAGGCACGAAAGCGUGGGGAGCAAACAGGAUUAAAUACCCUGGUAGUCCACGCCCUAAACGAUGACAACUAGGUUUUGGGGAAGCGAUUUCUCAGUACCGCACCUAACGCGUGAAUUGUCCC